rnacentral:rRNA from 1 species
ACGGAAGGCAGCAGUGGGGAAUAUUGCACAAUGGGGGAAACCCUGAUGCAGCGAUGCCGCGUGGAGGAAGAAGGUUUUCGGAUUGUAAACUCCUGUCUUAAGGGACGAUAAUGACGGUACCUUAGGAGGAAGCUCCGGCUAACUACGUGCCAGCAGCCGCGGUAAUACGUAGGGAGCGAGCGUUGUCCGGAAUUACUGGGUGUAAGGGAGCGUAGGCGGGAUGGCAAGUCAGAUGUGAAAACUAUGGGCUCAACCCAUAGACUGCAUUUGAAACUGUUGUUCUUGAGUGAAGUAGAGGUAAGCGGAAUUCCUAGUGUAGCGGUGAAAUGCGUAGAUAUUAGGAGGAACAUCGGUGGCGAAGGCGGCUUACUGGGCUUUUACUGACGCUGAGGCUCGAAAGCGUGGGGAGCAAACAGGAUUAGAUACCCUGGUA